rnacentral:misc_RNA from 1 species
UUUCCGUGGGUGAACCUGCGGAAGGAUCAUUCAUGAGAACUAAGUGUAGUAGUUUCGACUACUACUCCGACCACUCCACUCUUUGUUUAUAUUACCUUUUUUGCUUUAGCAGGCCCGCUCUCGGGCCGCCGGCACCUGCUGGCCAGCGCCUGCUAAAGUACAUAAAAUUCUUUUUAAUUAUAUUGUCUGAGUACUAUAUAAUAGUUAAAACUUUCAACAACGGAUCUCUUGGUUCUG